CCUACGGGAGGCUGCAGUGAGGAAUAUUGGUCAAUGGACGAGAGUCUGAACCAGCCAAGUAGCGUGAAGGAUGACUGCCCUAUGGGUUGUAAACUUCUUUUAUAUGGGAAUAAAAUGUUCCACGUGUGGGAUUUUGUAUGUACCAUAUGAAUAAGGAUCGGCUAACUCCGUGCCAGCAGCCGCGGUAAUACGGAGGAUCCGAGCGUUAUCCGGAUUUAUUGGGUUUAAAGGGAGCGUAGGUGGAUUGUUAAGUCAAUUGUGAAAGUUUGCGGCUCAACCGUAAAAUUGCAGUUGAAACUGGCAGUCUUGAGUACAGUAGAGGUGGGCGGAAUUCGUGGUGUAGCGGUGAAAUGCUUAGAUAUCACGAAGAACUCCGAGUGCGAAGGCAGUUCACUGGACUGCAACUGACACUGAGGCUCGAAAGUGUGGGUAUCAAACAGGAUUAGAUACCCCAGUAGUC
rnacentral:rRNA from 1 species